rnacentral:rRNA from 1 species
UACGUAGGGUCCGAGCGUUGUCCGGAAUUAUUGGGCGUAAAGAGCUCGUAGGCGGCGUGUCACGUCUGCUGUGAAAGACCGGGGCUCAACCUCGGUUUUGCAGUGGAUACGGGCAUGCUAGAGGUUGAUAGGGGAGACUGGAAUUCCUGGUGUAGCGGUGUAAUGCGUAGAUAUGAGGAGGAACACCGGUGGCGAAGGCGAGUCUCUGGGCCUUACCUGACGCUGAGGAGCGAAAGCAUGGGUAGCGAGCAGG